CAGCCAUNAGGGAUCUUCCGCAAUGGACGAAAGUCUGACGGAGCAACGCCGCGUGAGCGAUGAAGGCCUUCGGGUCGUAAAGCUCUGUUGUUAGGGAAGAACAAGUACCGGAGUAACUGCCGGUACCUUGACGGUACCUAACCAGAAAGCCACGGCUAACUACGUGCCAGCAGCCGCGGUAAUACGUAGGUGGCAAGCGUUGUCCGGAAUUAUUGGGCGUAAAGCGCGCGCAGGCGGUCCUUUAAGUCUGAUGUGAAAGCCCACGGCUCAACCGUGGAGGGUCAUUGGAAACUGGGGGACUUGAGUACAGAAGAGGAAAGCGGAAUUCCACGUGUAGCGGUGAAAUGCGUAGAGAUGUGGAGGAACACCAGUGGCGAAGGCGGCUUUCUGGUCUGUAACUGACGCUGAGGCGCGAAAGCGUGGGGAGCAAACAGGAUUAGAUACCCUGGUAGUCCACGCCGUAAACGAUGAGUGCUAAGUGUUAGAGGUUUCCGCCCUUUAGUGCUGCAGCUAACGCUUAAGCAUCCCCU
rnacentral:rRNA from 1 species